rnacentral:rRNA from 1 species
GCUUAACACAUGCAAGUCGAGGGGCAGCAUGCUUUUAGCUUGCUAAGGCCGAUGGCGACCGGCGCACGGGUGAGUAACACGUAUCCAACCUGCCGUCUACUCUUGGACAGCCUUCUGAAAGGAAGAUUAAUACAAGAUGGCAUCAUGAGUCCGCAUGUUCACAUGAUUAAAGGUAUUCCGGUAGACGAUGGGGAUGCGUUCCAUUAGAUAGUAGGCGGGGUAACGGCCCACCUAGUCUUCGAUGGAUAGGGGUUCUGAGAGGAAGGUCCCCCACAUUGGAACUGAGACACGGUCCAAACUCCUACGGGAGGCAGCAGUGAGGAAUAUUGGUCAAUGGGCGAGAGCCUGAACCAGCCAAGUAGCGUGAAGGAUGACUGCCCUAUGGGUUGUAAACUUCUUUUAUAAAGGAAUAAAGUCGGGUAUGGAUACCCGUUUGCAUGUACUUUAUGAAUAAGGAUCGGCUAACUCCGUGCCAGCAGCCGCGGUAAUACGGAGGAUCCGAGCGUUAUCCGGAUUUAUUGGGUUUAAAGGGAGCGUAGAUGGAUGUUUAAGUCAGUUGUGAAAGUUUGCGGCUCAACCGUAAAAUUGCAGUUGAUACUGGAUAUCUUGAGUGCAGUUGAGGCAGGCGGAAUUCGUGGUGUAGCGGUGAAAUGCUUAGAUAUCACGAAGAACUCCGAUUGCGAAGGCAGCCUGCUAAGCUGCAACUGACAUUGAGGCUCGAAAGUGUGGGUAUCAAACAGGAUUAGAUACCCUGGUAGUCCACACGGUAAACGAUGAAUACUCGCUGUUUGCGAUAUACGGCAAGCGGCCAAGCGAAAGCGUUAAGUAUUCCACCUGGGGAGUACGCCGGCAACGGUGAAACUCAAAGGAAUUGACGGGGGCCCGCACAAGCGGAGGAACAUGUGGUUUAAUUCGAUGAUACGCGAGGAACCUUACCCGGGCUUAAAUUGCAGAUGAAUUACGGUGAAAGCCGUAAGCCGCAAGGCAUCUGUGAAGGUGCUGCAUGGUUGUCGUCAGCUUGUGCCGUGAGGUGUCGGCUUAAGUGCCAUAACGAGCGCAACCCUUGUUGUCAGUUACUAACAGGUUCUGCUGAGGACUCUGACAAGACUGCCAUCGUAAGAUGUGAGGAAGGUGGGGAUGACGUCAAAUCAGCACGGCCCUUACGUCCGGGGCUACACACGUGUUACAAUGGGGGGUACAGAGGGCCGCUACCACGCGAGUGGAUGCCAAUCCCAAAAACCUCUCUCAGUUCGGACUGGAGUCUGCAACCCGACUCCACGAAGCUGGAUUCGCUAGUAAUCGCGCAUCAGCCACGGCGCGGUGAAUACGUUCCCGGGCCUUGUACACACCGCCCGUCAAGCCAUGGGAGCCGGGGGUACCUGAAGUGCGUAACAACGAGGAGCGCCCUAGGGUAAAACUGGUGACU